rnacentral:rRNA from 1 species
CAGCAGCCGCGGGAAUACGAAGGGGGCUAGCGUUAAUCGGAAUUACUGGCCGUAAAGCGUGCGUAGGCGGUUCGUUAAGUCUGUUGUGAAAGCCCCGGGCUCAACCUGGGAAUGGCAGUGGAUACUGGCAAGCUAGAGUGUGUCAGAGGAUGGUGGAAUUCCCGGUGUAGCGGUGAAAGGCGUAGAGAUCGGGAGGAACAUCAGUGGCGAAGGCGGCCAUCUGGGACAACACUGACGCUGAGGCACGAAAGCGUGGGGAGCAAACAGGAUUAGAUACCCCUGUAGUCCCUGUCUCUUAUAC